AUAUGCUUCCCUUAAUUAUAAUGGUGCUUAGUAUAGUUUCAACAUCACCGAUGUAAUGAGAAAAUGUAGUGGUUGUAAAAACUUGUAACGAAAUACACAUCCCAUUUAUGUUCAUAAAACUCUUGCGAUGGCAUCUGGGUGGGUAUGGAAAUGAUCGUGAAAGCAGGAGAGUAAGAAUAAAUCAUUUAUGCCACUCAGCAUCAUAAUAUGCGAAAUUUGCA